AGGAAAUGAGUAGGCAGCAGGCUGAAGAGGGUGAAAAAAAACAGGGCAAGAGCAACCCCUCCACUGAAAUGCACUGGGAAGGGGGACUUAGAUACUAACACAAGUUCAAUUCAAGAAGCAUUUAUUGAACCGUCCUCAUGAGCCAGGUCAGGGUGUUCAGCACUGAGCGUGUCAAGACGAAGACACAUAGCCUCUAAGUGUCCACCAUCUACAAUAGCUAAUGUUUAAUUGUCCUUAAAAGUUGAAGAAUGUUGACUGGAUUGUCUGCAAAUCAGUCAUGUGAGUAGUGUUAAUCUAAUGAAGAAGAAUCUUAAAAGACAAAUUCUCCAAAUGCUGCUGCUCCUGCAUCCUGCUGCUCUACCUGCUGUGGGGAGGAGUGACCACUCCCUGAUAUGCUGCAGAUGCAAUUGAGUAGCAGCUUCAUUCCACAUUUCUCCAACAUCUUUCAUGGUGAGGUCAAGAGCAUAUUCAAAACCAUGUGUGGCUCAGUCCAACUGGAGAGACCAAGUCAAAGAGCCUCAUUUCCAUAAGGUAGAAUCUUGUCCAUACCUCUUCACUCACAACACAGACCAAUCUUGCAGAAGCCAGGAGGUUCUGAGUAAGGUCUGCAUAAAGAAAUAAUACCAUAGUUUCCAAUUGGCCAGUUUCGUUCUCUAACCAAACAGCUGCUGCCUGCUUACUGAGUGUGCAUGCCCACGCACACUCACACUGACUGUAACUCACCAUCAGCUGUAACCAGGCAGUUCUCUCAAGCCAUCUGCAGCUGGGCAAAAACCUAGAAUGAUUAAGUCAUUGAUAGAACACCACUUUCCUAAAAAUGGCAAUACUUAAAUACAUCUAAUCCUGAUCAAUACCUUGAUAUUCUAUAUCAUACAUUUAAAAAUCAAGUUGCCUAAUUAUUUUAAAUAUAUUCCAAAUGAACAAAAACACAUUAUAACUCCAAAUCACCAUGUUACCACCACCAUGGCGUGGAACCUUCCUGUCCACUCCAGAAGGCAGUUUUGUGCCCUCCUGGGCACCUGUGUCGCAGCCUAGAGACACUUAGACAUCCACCGGGAUAGUCCCAGGGCUCAGCUGUGUUGUUUCCAUGUCUCAGUGAUCACUUUUCUUUGUUGCCUGAUGUCUCAACAUUUUGAAAACUGCUGUUUCACAUAUUUUGUCUGGUUUUCUAGUUGCUUCAGACAGGAGUUAACUACAGUCCUUAUUACUUUGUCUUUCCUGAAAGCAGAAGUCUUUUAACUAAAGAAGGGUAGAUAUUAAAUGUAUCAUCUUUAGAAUUUGAUGAGAAAGUAAAAUUGCUUCCUCACUGUCCUCACCGGAUUCACAGGGGGAAAUGAUUCAGAGGCUUUUGCCUUUACCUCCUAGAGCAUGUUCUUGCAACUGUUGGGCUAGUCUUAUCUGGCCAAACUCUGUUACUAACAGAAUGUCUAGUUAUUUUGCAGGCACAGAGUUAAGAAGUGGCAAGUUAACACAGCCAGAGCAUGCACAGAAGAAAACUUCGACCUCAAAUAACACCUAGAACCAAAGUCCCUACCGCAGAACUAAAAGAUUGGGAUGUGGCUGGAACUCAAGCACCUAAACACUUUCAAAAGGCUUUGCCUUCCAGUGUCUACUUGGCCUUCCAGUGUCAGACAGCUUCUUGCACCUGACCCACUCAGCUGAGGACACAGAUGUCAAAAAAAAAAUCAUAAAUACAGAAUUCCAGAAAAUUUUACCAAUAUG
ensembl:lncRNA VAV3-AS1 VAV3 antisense RNA 1